AAUCCUCAAUCCUGCAAGAAAUUGUUUGGAAUAGUACACAAAUCAAUGGCCAUAAACUUGCAUAAAUUGAUUAACAGGUAUGUUAGAAUCUCAUAAAAUUAAUAAAAGCUUAAUGUAUCAUGUAAAAUAUUUGUCAAGUUAAUAGCAAAAGGUGAGCUAGACAAAAUUUAACAGAGUUUGCUAUGAUGCAAACUUAAAACUAUUCCAAAAGAGGUGACAUUGACAUCCUUACUUUGCUGUUUUUCAGAUAGUUCAGAAAUCAUCACGGUAUCAGAGUAUCUUGUAUUCUUGUCACAACUAUUGUAAUGGACUAACAGUUGUUAUAAACAGAUAAAUAAUAUGGAGCUGAGGAGUUUUACGGUUAGGCUGUCCCCAAGAAAAAGCACUAUCAUCACCACCACUACAAUUAUGCAGAUGUUCUAACUACAUAAAAGUUCAAAGAGCCCACAUCUGAAGAGACUCUAUAAAGCAUUUUAUGAGACACAUAUGCUGUACCAAAAAUAAUGAAUGGGCUGUAACAAGAUAUAAGGAAGUCAUCCUGCCCAGUCUGAGGCUAUUAGGACUUUAUAAAACUUUCCUUGUUCCUCAACUUUUCAUUUUACUUUGAAAUAGAUCAGACACUUCACCAGUAAUCUUGAGUUGUUGAUAGGGAAAUAGAAAGAACUGACAAAUAUGAGUCUGUCUCCCUCUACUGGACCCAAAUCAAGAGUAGGAUUUGAAAUGUGAGAAAUAGGUUAUUUGUGGACAACGUGAUUUCUUGGUACGAAGUAUUUGUUUUCUCUUAUUUAGCACUAUAUAAGAAGUUCUAUACGAAGUUAAUUUUUAACAUGUUUUUCUGGUAUGCCAAACCAUCACAUAAAAAAAUAUUGAACCUUUGAGUUAUAAAAUUGUCCUAGACAAGGCUGUAUCCCAUAGGUUACAUACGCAAGGAAUAUUUAGUAAUACGGGAAACUGUACUGCAAAACUGUCGGUGGUGAGAAAUGGACAUUCACAGGCUUGUUUUUCCUUUUUGCUUUGUUUUUAAACUUUCAGCACAAGCACUGCUCUGCUCCCACAAAUUGCAAGACAUUCAUGCUUGCGUCAAAAGCAAAAGGAGAUGGACCUGGAGGUUCAGAAGAGACUCUGGGGAAGCAGAGUAAACCAAAAAUAACUGUGGGAUACAACCAUUAUAUUAUGGUUUAUGUCCAGAGGGCCUUACCGACUCCACUAAGUAUGGGAAGAGAUUCACCAAACUAAGAUAAACGCAAAAAAAAAAAGAACAUACACUGUGAUCUCGAAACCACCAUGACCACUGAAAAAAUCUUCCUUUUCAGAUGACUGGAAAAAAAACAACAAAGCAUGUAUCAGGGUAUAAAAAUAAAGCAAGAAGCGCGGUUUGGGCCUUCGGGACGACAAUUCGCUGAAGCACUCCCCGCGGGCCGGAUGCAGGGCUGAAAAGGAAGCCCCAAACCCCACCUGCAGCGCAUCUCUGCCUGUUGGCGGCUUUUUGCUGCCUCUGGCACCUUCAUUCUUAGACUCAAGGCGCAGAAGGACCUCAGCCACUUGAGCGAACAAGGAGGAGCCCGGAGCCAAAAGCCCAGAGCUACGGGGCCACAAAACCCGGGGGCUGCCGCCCGGCGUCCCCUCACCUCAGGAGGGGCCAGGAUCGGGGCCUUCCCCCCCCCCCCCAAAUCUCACCUCCCUCGCGUUCUCCUGCCCCACCAGCCCGGCCCCCGCCGGCUUGGCGGUGCCGCUCUCGUCCAGCCCCAGCCCCUUGACAUGGCUGUGGGCGGCGAUGCGCUGUGUUUUGGACGUGCUCUUCACCUCCUCGAUCUUCAUGGCGGCCCCGCUCCCCUCCGCGCCUCACGCGGCCCGCCCGUUGCCAAGGCGCCCGCCCGCCUCAGCUCGGCCCGCCCCCCGACCACCGCGAUUGGCCCGCCUGCCGCCAGCUCUCGGUGCUGAUUGGCUGAGGCGCCUGCCCGUCGCAGUCAGGGGGUGCGUUGGGGUUUAGCGUCCGGCUCGGCGCUUCCCGGUGCGCCGCUCUGAGGGGCCGGCGGCGAGCGGGGGCUGCGGGGAGGGGGGGCCGGGGGCGAGGCGGCUUCACCUCACCCCGGGGGUUGUGGCCAGGGGGCGAGUGAGGGCUGGGAGCAGGGCGCUCCCCUCGCCACAGGGGCUCCGGUUUGCUCCCGGUGGUCUCCUGCCCCCGCUGGCAGUGGGUGCAGCUCACAGAGCUGAGGUGAAGCUUCCUGUGAGGGGUUUCUAGCUAUUGGUCAUGGAAGUAGCAAGGGCAGGGUUGUACCCCCGAGUGUGUCUUCCUAAAUUCUUCCAGUUACCUGUGUGACGGCUAAAUAACGCCAUUUUGUAUGUCUAAGGUACUUAUGUAAGCACCUGAGGCUUUAAUUUGUCUUCCAGUACGCUGUAUGUAUGAUCUAAUAGCUUCCUCCUGAGCUUGGGGCUACCGAAUUGAGGAAUAAACUUCAUCUCCUCAGCAUCCAGCUUCGUGCCCUCACAGAACUCACCCAUGGCUCUCACACCUGUGCCAUCCCGUGGCUUGUGGUUCACCUGUUGCAUCUUCUGUAUGGUGUUUAAAUGCUUGAGAUGGAGACGUGUGAAAUCUCAGAGCACCUCGGAGCUGCCUGUUCCCCUGACUUCUCCUUGUAAAUAAAGGGAUUACUCUCCAAAAUGAGAGGACUCUUCCCACAAAUGCAUCGUGUCUGAUAAUAAAGCUGUGUCUACGUCUGUGAUGCAUAAGGUUAAUGGACUAACAGCGUGAUGCAGGCCUGUUUGUUCAAGGGGAUGCUGCUGUCUCAGCUCUGCUACCUCUUGCCAGGCAGAUUUACAAAGGUAUUUGUGUGAUGAUACAAAAUAGAGGGGAGCUUUUGGGAAGGGUGGGUGUAGUGGCUGGGGCUGCAGAAGCUUGGUGGGCACAAUACGUGCUGUUUGUUCCCUUUUUGUCCAACAGCUUCCGUUAGUUUUGAUAUGUGUCAUUCAGCAAAGACUUGGCUAUUUGUUUUUUUCUUUUUCUGCUAACUUGUUCUGUCAGUUUAUAUUUACAUAAUCUAGUUUAGAAUUGCAAUUACAAUAUAAUUGCGCACACAUGUAGUUCAACACCUUUGUAAGGGUAUCCACUUAGACAACUGUUUUAGCUAAGAAUUUUUGAAUCCAAUAAACACAAGCUAUCCCUUAAAUAAUUAAAAAAGCAUGUAUACUAUUGGAUUCUAUACGUCCUUUCAGGGUCAUAUUAGUCACAGAAUACAAAUGCCUAAUA